CAAAAAAAAAAAAUCUGGGCGGCGGUGGGCGCUGAGCGGUGGCGGCGCCGGCGGCGGCAACCAAGCCGCCCCGGAUCGCAUCUUCAACUAGCGAGGAGGGACGAGGCGGCCGGGGCAAAGUGUCGUCAAUGGUACAACCCGGUCGCCGGAGAUGGCUGCAACGGAAGGCCUAAGGCUAGGAAAUUUCAGAGCAGGUCGAAUGGCAGUGUGGGCAGUGAGCGAGGCAAAGGGGCCCUGAUGAACUCCUUACCUGCUGCUGAGGCUUUUGGGUCUUUCAGGUUGCCGUAGCACCGAAUCGCAUCACUUGCCUGUCGAAUUGGCCUUUUGCGUCUGCGAGAUUUGUCUUUUGCCCCUCCAUCAGAUUGAUCAGGAUUGUUCGCGUCUUGACACCAAAGCUCUACCUGCUAAAGAUUAUAAUGUUCAAGAUUGCUUCAUCCGAGUCGGAGCCUGGUGAAAUCAGUGCUGCUACUUGAUCAAUCAACGGUGCGGCGCACAGCGGCAGCUCAUGUGUCAUGUGUUCAUACUUCAUAUUCUAGUGUCUCAGGACAGACCAGGGGAAUGCUGCAUUUGUCUGUCACACACAGUUCAAACAUUCAGAGUUUCUGUUUCAUGUGCUGCUUCAUGAAGAAACUUGAGAUUGCUGUGGCUGAAACGCUGGGAGUUCGUUGCUGGGGUGAGGCCCUUCUGUGGGGGCAAAAAAUGGAGAAACUCGGGAUUACAAUCAUUUGUCUGUCACACAGUUCAACAUUCAGAAUUUCUGUUUCAUAUAUGAUGCUUCAUGGAGAAACUUGAGAUUACAAUCUCUUGAGAGAAGUACUGAACAACAUCUACGCAAAAUGAGCGUGAAACAGUGGCAUAAACAUUAGCAUUUGAGCAGAGGCCAGAGGGCCCGAUAUGCAAUGAGCAGAACAUACUCUUGCGCCGUUUAGUUCCCAAAAUGAAAAUUUUUGGAUGUCAAAUCGACUGUUUGACUA